GGCCACGUCAUGUUGAAACACUAGUUCCCAUAUAAUCACCAAAGUUAAGCAAUGCUGUGUUUGGUUAGUACCAAGAUGGGCGACAACUUGCGGAUACAAGGUGCUGUCAG